CAGGCUCCUGCUCCAGGGCGAACCCGGGGGUCCUCUCCCAUGGCUCUGUGGGGGACCCCGGGGAGGUCGCCCUGGCACGGGACACUGUCGCGGGGUAGGACCCGAGAGGGUCUGGGGCGGUCAGGCUUCAUCCUGAGCACCGCCCGGGUGCAGGGAGCGCUGGGUGCUGGGCAAUACUUUAAAGACACAAAGUCUCAACAACCAUCUUCCGCUUGACGAGACAGAUCAUUCUAAUUUGAGCAGAAGCUACUAUGUCCUGCCCUUUGAACGCGGCGGCCCGGACAGCUGACAAGGACACACUGUGUAUUUCCAUUCCAAUUCUGGGAGUGCUCUGAGGCCUCUGGGGGAGAAGGACCCAUGAAAUAUUCAAAACAUAAGUGAAUAAAAUAUCUAGGUGCUAGAUAUGGGCCAGGAAGAGCCCUCGGCCCUGCAAAGUGUGUGUGAUGGUGAGAAGCUACCGGAAGAGAUGGUCCCUGUGCUUGGUUCAUUCCUUGGACAUUUAUCAAGCUGACGAAUGUAGCAGAGGUGCUUCAGUCGGCUGUAAUUCCACGGGUGGAGUGCUGGCUGGAGAGUUACCUGGGGCUGUCACACUGCAUGGGCUCCGGGACACUGUGGCUGCCCUUAUGUGGUGUCCCCGGAGGGCCCUGCAGGUGUCACACCGCUGCUCCACACUGCCACCUGCUGUCAGCAUCUGUGCAACGUAUCCAGGUCUCUGGGGGCUAGAAUGAAAAACAUGCAUCUCGUAACCAAUGAAAUCGGGCUUGUCCUGAAGACCUCGUGCAUUCAUCCAUUCUCACACUGCUAUAAAGACAUACCUAAGACUGGGCACUUCAUGAAGAAAAGAGGUUUAAUUGGCUCACGGUUCUGCAGGCUUUACAGGAAGCAUAGCAGCUUCCACUUCUAGGGAGGCCUCAGGAAACUUAUAGUCAUGGUGGAAGGUGAAGGCGGGACAAGGCGUCUCACAUGGGAGCAGUAGAGAGAGAAAAAGAGGGGGUGCCGCACACUUUGAAACAACCAGAUCUAACGAUAACUCACUAUCAUGAGAACAGCACCAAGAAGCUGGCGCUAACCCACUUGUGAAGGACCACCACCAUGAUCCAAUCCCUUCCCACCAGGUCCCACUUCCAACGUUGGGGAUUACACUUCACGGUGAGAUUUGUGCAGAGAGGACACAGGUCCAAACCAUA
rnacentral:lncRNA from 1 species